rnacentral:tRNA from 1 species
GCGCGAGUGGCGGAAUUGGUAGACGCGCUGGCUUCAGGUGCCAGUGUUCGCAAGGACGUGGGGGUUCAAGUCCCCCUCGCGCACCG